UACGGAGGAUGCAAGCGUUAUCCGGAAUGAUUGGGCGUAAAGCGUCCGCAGGUGGCUAUGUAAGUCUGCUGUUAAAGAGUGAGGCUCAACCUCAUAAGAGCAGUGGAAACUACAUGGCUAGAGUGCGUUCGGGGCAGAGGGAAUUCCUGGUGUAGCGGUGAAAUGCGUAGAUAUCAGGAAGAACACCGGUGGCGAAAGCGCUCUGCUAGGCCGCAACUGACACUGAGGCACGAAAGCGUGGGGAGCAAACAGG
rnacentral:rRNA from 1 species